AGCUGCUCAGGGUGAUGAGGACAAUCGACGAUAGAAUUGUUCAUGAAUUAAACACUACGAUUCCAACAGCUUCCUUUGUGGGGAAAGUUGAUCCUGGCCAGACGUGUAAAGAGCUGUACGAGUCUUUGAUGGAUGCUCACACCAGUAGAGAAAGAAUCAUCAAAAACUGCAUCUCUCAGACUUCUGCUGUAGUGAAAACCCUCAAAGAGGAGAGGGAAAAGGCCCAUGAAGAUGCAGCAUUAUUAAAGCAGCUCAGGAAAGAGCAGACAAAGUUGAAAUUGAUGCAGUCGGAGCUCAAUGUUGAAGAAGUGGUAAACGACAGAAGCUGGAAGUUUCCUCCUAUCACUGAUCUCAAACCUUUACCUCAUCUGAACUCUUCCAGAGGUGCCCAUUCCAUGUGGUAACAUAAUGGCUGCACAUUUCUGUGUGUGAAAGAAACUAUAUCACAGCUUUUGUUUUCUGCAGUAUGAAGCAGUUUGCAAUACAUGUCUACUUCUUUAAAUAAAUUAAAUUUGAAAGGUAGUUGAGAAUUGCUCCAAAAUUGUUGAGAAGCAAUGCUGUAAUGAAUGUGUGUUCCAGGCUUCACUUUUGCUGAAGUUGCCAUAGGUUCUGAAGUGUGAAUAAGAUCUGCUGUAGAAGAUUCUAGGAAGACACAGCUUGAAACUGUGUAUUUAUAUAAAGUGUUGGAUAACUUCCCCAAAAUGACAAGAUCACUCACUUUGCACAUAAAGCCAAUGGGAGAGGUCAUGAAACUUCAUAUCCUGAUGAACACAGGCACUUGGGUCUGCCAAACCCCUGGACAGCUUGGCAAAAUAUGGUCUUGUGGGAAUGCUGGUGGGACAGCCAACGCCUGCCAGAGCCCAGCUUGGUGUCAGGUGGUGCUUGUGUCGCUUUCACGACUUGUGCUGGACAAGUUGGGAUAAAAACUGAUAAAUAACUGAAUGGCUUGUGAAGAGCACUUGCAGCCUCGGUGGGAGCCUGUGUGUUUUGCUUUGGAUUCAGGCUGCCUGACUUUAAACAGUCACGUUUUUUGGCCCUCCUUAGGGCAGGCUGGCGGCAAUUCAAGCUAAAUAUACACCAUCCUCAGUAUCCAGUUCUGGAGGCUAAAUUUUACCCAGAGAAGGUGCCAGAGGUGAGUGAUGCAGGAGUGCUGUGCCCUUUGCAGGGAGUGCUGGCAGCACUGGCACAGGCAGGCAGAGCACUGGAAGUGUGCACGUGGCUUUCAGGAGCCCUUGCCCCUCUUCUUGGCUGUCGUGCCAAUGUAAAAUGUGCCUGCUCAGGAAAGACAGGAAUACAGCACCCAGAUUUGAAUGCCAGAGUGAACCUAACAGAGCACAACCAUUCAGGAGCCUUCCCAUGAUUAUUUCCCUCUCUUUUAAAAACAAAAAGGCAUCAGCAUUUUUGAUGAUAACAGCCUGCCAGGAUUAAGAGUCUGCAUUUUCUGAGGGAGAACACUUAGUGCUGUGCAGUUUCUCAACAUCAGGCUGCAUACUUUGGAUUUACUAAAGCCAGGAGUGAAGGUGAAUGGAGAUGGAUGUCUUGGUAUUUAAUGAGCGGUGCCGAAUUCACUACAAGCCUCCGAAGAGUCAAUGAUGGUGUGGGAUAUUUUCCAUCAAGGUGGUCCAUAACUGUGAGAGCCAAACUGGAAAGAGACCGUGGGUGAGCUGAAUUGGGACCCUCCAGAACCAGUAGAACCCAGUCUUGUUUUGUUUUGGACCUACUUAGCUGAAUUCUCAAGCUUGAAAUGAUUCUCCUGUAAUUAAGAGAAAACAACUCAUCUUUUGUACAAAAUAUGUGAACAAAUGAGUUUUAUAGUAUUAAAACAAUUUUCAAUUGGAAUGCAAAACUGGCAUCUUUCUUGAACUUCCACAGCUUCAGUGAUCCCAGAGGGGAAGAAAGAGUAAAACCUAUCCUGAACAGGGAGGAGAAGGCUCUCCCUGAGCUGCUGUCUGCUAAAAUAUCAGUGAACACAGUCUUUUUGUGGAAAUAAUCUGCUGAAGUCUGAAAGGAAAUAAAAAUUGCAGACUGAUCA